rnacentral:rRNA from 1 species
GACGAACGCUGGCGGCGUGCUUAACACAUGCAAGUCGAACGGAAAGGCCCUGCUUUUGUGGGGUGCCCGAGUGGCGAACGGGUGAGUAACACGUGAGUAAACUGCCCUUGACUUUGGGAUAACUUCAGGAAAAUGGGGCCAAUAACGGGUAGGAGCUCCUGCUGCAUGGUGGGGGUUGGAAAGUUUCGGCGGUUGGGGAUGGACUAGCGGGUUGGCAGCUUGCUGGUGGGGUAGUGGCUUACCAAGGCUUUGAUGGGUAGGCGGCCUGAGAGGGUGACCGGCCACAGUGGAACUGAGAUACGGCCCAGACUCCUACGGGAGGCAGCAGUGGGGAAUAUGGCAGAAUGGGCGGAAGCCUGAUGCAGCAACGCCGCGUGCGGGAGGACGGCCUUCGGGUUGUAAACCGCUUUCGCCUGUGACGAAGCGUGAGUGACGGUAAUGGGUAAAGAAGCACCGGCUAACUACGUG